AUUGAACGCUGGCGGAAUGCUUUACACAUGCAAGCCGAACGGCAGCACGGACUUCGGUCUGGUGGCGAGUGGCGAACGGGUGAGUAAUGUAUCGGAACGUGCCCAGUCGUGGGGGAUAACGUAGUGAAAAUUACGCUAAUACCGCAUACGAUCUAUGGAUGAAAGCGGGGGAUCGCAAGACCUCGCGCGAUUGGAGCGGCCGAUAUCAGAGUAGGUAGUUGGUGGGGUAAAGGCACACCAAGCCAACGAUCUGUAGCUGGUCUGAGAGGACGACCAGACACACUGGAACUGAGACACGGUCCAGCAUCCUACGGGAGGCAGCAGGGGGGAAUUUUGGACAAUGGGCGAAAGCCUGAUCCAGCCAUUCCGCGUGCAGGAUGAAGGCCCUCGGGUUGUAAACUGCUUUUGUACAGAACGAAAAGGCUCUGGUUAAUACCUGGGGCUCAUGACGGUACCGUAAGAAUAAGCACCGGCUAACUACGUGCCAGCAGCCGCCGCGG
rnacentral:rRNA from 1 species